GCGUCUUGGCGCUGUUUGGACGCUUCCAGUUUUACGCGUUUUGCUUUGCGCGAAGACAGGCCGCGGGUUUUCUUGUUUUUGUUUGUGUGUUUUAUGAUCAGUUCAACAAUUCAGAAUCAUGUUUGAUCCUUUAAAAUAACAGUUGGCGUUUUUGUUUUGGUUUUACGUUUUUAUGGCACCAUUUCAGUUGGUGAUGGAGGGCAUGCGCUCAGUGCGCACAAGCUGCCCGGCCCUUUCCAAAGCCGCUCCAGCUGUCCAAGGCCUGAACACUCAGAGCUGUUUUCUCAGCAAAGGAUUUCCACAACCCGUGUCUGGCUCUAGGCUUCUCCACUUGGCCUCCACGUGGGAGAAGUUUGGGGGAGUGGAUCCAAGUGGAUCCUCUGAAGGCGUAUCUCUCACGUGGAGAGCUCUGCCACAGACAGGGCCAUUCUGACACAGCCUCAUCUGAGCAGAGGACCCUGGACGAUCCCUAGCUCCUCUGAUCUCUUCCGUUGUGACUGUGGAUGCAAAGGAUAUGAGGAGCCACUGCUCUGAAAGGAGUUUUCUGUUCAGGAGGAUGAGGGAGACUGGCUUGUGGAGCAGGUGAACCGUUGAAGGAGAAACACCACAUUUCUGUCUGACCUGAACUAUACUCCCCGGCGAUCUGCACUGCUUUAACCAAGCAGAUCAGUGAAGAAGGCAUCUUUAUUUUUACUUUGACAAGAAUAACGAGACUGAGAUGAUCAGAGAUCUAAGCAGCCUCCCUGGAUGUCGUUAACAGCCGUACUGACUGGAAGCACAGGCAGGGGAAAUUUGAGAGAAAUGUCCCACAAAGCAACCCUUUUUGGACCGUCGGCGGCGUCUUCAAAGAACUUAAAAGUAAAACGCCUGUUGGGCACUGCUGCAUCUGAGCAAGAGCUAAUCUCUCUGGAGGAGAAAGGGGGCGGAAAGCUGGAGGUCAGGGUCGGGUGGAAAUAGCUGGAGAAGAAGCUGCUCCUCAGCAGGAAGCAGCAGACCCCCGCAGAGGAUGAGGAGCAGAUGGCUACUAUAAGACUCGGAUGGGCUUGAGCAAAAACUGGAGACCCUGCAGGUUAAUGAAAUGAUGGAGAUUUUCUGGCCUUUGAGAUGGACUGACUGUAAAAGCUUCUAGAGCAUCUUAGUGAGGCUACGUGUGAAUUGUUCCUGAAGCUGAGGCGAGACG